CCACUGAGUCCAGACACGCCCUGGCGGCACCGGGGCCCUGCUUGGCUCAGACACGCCCUGGCGGCACCCAGGCCCUGCUUGGCUCCCCUGGACGGAGCCAGAAGACCUCCUCUUUGUCAGGAAGUCUGCAGGUUUCAGAGACUAAUUCUCUGCUGGGCAUGUGUCCAGAAGAGGUGUAAGGAGUGACAGAUUGAUGGAAAGGCACGGCACCUUGGCUGGACAGGCUCGUCCUGUUUCUGGGCGGGCGGGGCGCACGCCUUCCGUGUUUGGUGGAGAAGCAGCCUGUGGUGAGGAGCGAGGAGCCAGAAGGACGGCUUGGGAGUGCCCUGGGGGACCUGAAUUGCUGUGAGUGUUGACAGCUCAGGAAAACUUACUCUUCUGUCAGAAGAAAUACGUCUUUUAGGAAUUGGCCUGAGUUAGAAUCUCAGAUGCUAAGAAAUCGACCGACUUUUCAGGAAAAAGGUGUGUUUUCAGCCUUGCUGUGAGUGGCUGUGAGAAGGGUCUGAUUUGUCGCUGAUACAGGUUCCUAAAGGGAGUGCCACUGCCCCAGCUGACAGCUCGCUGCAGGUGAACCCCAGCUUGCUUCCUAAUGUUCUGUGCUCAGGAGGGGAAGCUCCCAGUGGCUCAAGUGACCCUGGUGCUGUGUGCCUGCAAAGUUCUCCGCAAGCGGGGCAGGACCAACUUGCCACCCCAGACACAGGAUAAAAAUUGCAGCAGAGCAAGACUCAAGCUGGAUCACGUGGUGUGGUGACUUCUUUACUUCGCACCCCUUUUCAACCUUAACAUACUGAAGGGGAAGCGCUGUGGAGAAAACCGGAUGAUGGGUGGAGACCAGGAAGGGUACAGGGAGCCCACCUGUGGAGACGGGAGGACCACGUGCGGAUUCUGUGCCUGACGUGAACGUGCUUGCCAGGUGUCCUGCGUGGUCUCCGGCCACCACAAGGAGAGCCUCCCUCUGCACUUGCCUUCACCCUGGCUGCCUGUUAGAGAGCUACAGGGCAACUAUGAAAAGUCACUCGUGCCAGCCCUCCCCAUCCCUCCCCACAUGGUGUAGCCAGCCUCUCCAUGGUUGGUCUACGUGCAGCUCUGCAGGUGACCGAAUGUGCUUGCCCGGAGAACCUGCCCCUGCAGAGCCCCUCAGUUGGAGACCUGGUGCUUUUCAAGGCCAGACACCUGAUCCUAUAUCCAGCACACCCUGGUGAACACCAGAAACCCGGGGCACAGGAAGGGACCCUUGUUUGCCUGUGGAAAGUGUUAACAGGAACUUGAUGCAUUUAGACCACGUGUUAACUUUGGGCGUCACUGACGGAUGUCUGAGAACUUGAGGUGGGGAGAUGGCGAUUUAGCUUCUCAGGCUGGCCUGGGUAAUUAAACUACCGAUGUUAUUUAUGAGUUUUGGUCUUAAAGUGUUGUGCAAGCACCAGAGGCUUCCUAGCAAAGAGAGUGCGAUUUUCUUAAUCACAUAAAAUCUCAAGGUCCUGGCAGCUGCUCUUCAGAGGGUGUUUCCCGCUGUUGCAGCUUAAUCUGGUAGCGAAGCUGUUGAUUGAGUUCCCGUGAGUAACAAGAAACAGCAGAGAUUUGUGCAUUUCUACGUACGGCAAGUCCUGGCCCCAACAGCUUAGUGCUACACCUACCAGUUGUGGGAAAAUUUACAUUUCCAGGAAACUGCAUACAACUGGGUAGAGCGCUGGUCCUUCAGGGAGAGAAGUGUUCCAGUUAAAUAUGGCCAUCUUCUUCCUCCGUCUCCAAGAAUACAAACACAUUAUUUUAAGAACCAAAAUGGCUGAGCCCACAAUUGUAGCAUGAACAGCCCUAGGCAUUAAACAACAGGUUAAGUAGCUCUUGCUGUCUAUGAGCCCAGCUCUGACACUGCCUGGGUGAGGGCCUAGCCCCCAGUGCCUGAGUUUCUGCAUCUGUGAGCCCAGCUCUGGCACUGCCUGGCUGUGGGGUGCUAGGCCCUCAGUGCCUCAGUUUCCAUAUCUGUACACUGGGUCUCCAAAUGGUGUUGACCAUCAUGGAGUGGUUGUAAGGAGUUAAUGACUCAUAUGCAUGAAGUUCUUAGAACAGGCCUUCCCCUUUGCCAGCACUCAAUAAAUGUCAGUUAUUAUUAGCAAUAUUAGGGUCAGGCUACAAUAGUAAAGGGUAGUGUUUUGUCCCUGAGAGGAUUGGAAUCUAGAUGGAAUGAGAAAUAAUAACAGCAGCCAUCAUUUGAAUUUUCCCUGUAUACCGGGCAGCAGACUAGCACGUUGAGUAAAUAUCUCAAGUAAAGGGUACAAAUCCAGGUGGAAACAGAGAAGGAGCCUGUGACAGAAACUGUGCAGCCAGGAGAGGCCGGAUCUACAUGCUCAGAACACAGGGUUGUCGGCGAAGCUUCCCCGAGAGCCCACUUGGACCUGUUGUGGGAAGAGACGGCAGAGCUAAGACAAGCAGGUCUGGACUCAGGGAGACCAGGGUUCAAAUUCGGGCUCCAACGGUAACAUAUUUUUCCCUGAGUUUGGAAACGCCCCAGGCUGCACUUUCCUCACCUGUGAGAUGAAUGUGCAAAAGCAUCCACUUCUGGAAACGCCGAGAAGAUCAAGCGUGUGAGCACCGCAGCGGACCCAGGACGGUACCUGGCAGGGGCGGCCCCAGGCAGGUGUGAGAACCUCAGCGGGCCCAGGACGGUGCCCAGCAGGGGCAGCCCCAGGCAGGUGUGAGAACCUCAGCGGGCCCAGGACGGUGCUCAGCAGGGGUGGCCCCAGGCAGGUGUGAGAACCUCAGCGGGCCCAGGACCGUGCUCAGCAGGGGUGGCCCCAGGCAGGUGUGAGAACCUCAGCGGGUGCAGGAUGGUGCCUGGCAGGGGCGGCCCCAGGCAGGAGUGAGAACCUCAGCGGGCCCAGGAAGGUGCUCAGCAGGGGCGACCCCAGGCAGGAGUGAGAACCUCAGCGGGCCCAGGACGGUGCCUGGCAGGGGCGGCCCCAGGCAGGAGUGAGAACCUCAGCGGGCCCAGGACGGUGCUCAGCAGGGGCGGCCCCAGGCAGGUGUGAGAACCUCAGCGGGCCCAGGACGGUGCUCAGCAGGGGCGGCCCCAGGCAGGUGUGAGAACCUCAGCGGGCCCAGGAUGGUGCUCAGCAGGGGCGGCCCCAGGCAGGUGUGGGAACCUCAGCGGGCCCAGGACGGUGCUCAGCAGGGGCGGCCCCAGGCAGGUGUGAGAACGUCAGCGGGCCCAGGACGGUGCCCAGCAGGGGCGGCCCCAGGCAGGUGUGAGAACCUCAGCGGGUGCAGGAUGGUGCCUGGCAGGGGCGGCCCCAGGCAGGAGUGAGAACCUCAGUGGGCCCAGGAAGGUGCUCAGCAGGGGCGACCCCAGGCAGGAGUGAGAACCUCAGCGGGCCCAGGACGGUGCCUGGCAGGGGCGGCCCCAGGCAGGAGUGAGAACCUCAACGGGCCCAGGACGGUGCUCAGCAGGGGCGGCCCCAGGCAGGUGUGAGAACGUCAGCGGGCCCAGGACGGUGCCCGGCAGGGGUGGCCCCAGGCAGGUGUGAGAACCUCAGCUGGCCCAGGACCGUGCUCAGCAGGGGUGGCCCCAGGCAGGUGUGAGAACCUCAGCGGGCGCAGGACGGUGCCCGGCAGGGGCGGCCCCAGGCAGGAGUGAGAACCUCAGCGGCCCAGGACGGUGCCCGGCAGGGGCGGCCCCAGGCAGGUGUGAGAACCUCAGCGGGUGCAGGAUGGUGCCUGGCAGGGGCGGCCCCAGGCAGGAGUGAAAACCUCAGUGGGCCCAGGAAGGUGCUCAGCAGGGGCGACCCCAGGCAGGAGUGAGAACCUCAGCAGGCCCAGGACGGUGCCUGGCAGGGGCGGCCCCAGGCAGGAGUGAGAACCUCAACGGGCCCAGGACGGUGCUCAGCAGGGGCGGCCCCAGGCAGGUGUGAGAACGUCAGCGGGCCCAGGACGGUGCCCAGCAGGGGCGGCCCCAGGCAGGUGUGGGAACCUCAGCGGGCCCAGGACGGUGCCCAGCAGGGGCGGCCCCAGGCAGGUGUGAGAACCUCAGCGGGCCCAGGACGGUGCCCAGCAGGGGCGGCCCCAGGCAGGUGUGGGAACCUCAGCGGGCCCAGGACGGUGCCCAGCAGGGGCGGCCCCAGGCAGGUGUGAGAACCUCAGCGGGCCCAGGACCGUGCUCAGCAGGGGUGGCCCCAGGCAGGUGUGAGAACCUCAGCGGGCGCAGGACGGUGCCCGGCAGGGGCGGCCCCAGGCAGGAGUGAGAACCUCAGCGGCCCAGGACGGUGCCCGGCAGGGGCGGCCCCAGGCAGGUGUGAGAACCUCAGCGGGUGCAGGAUGGUGCCUGGCAGGGGCGGCCCCAGGCAGGAGUGAGAACCUCAGUGGGCCCAGGAAGGUGCUCAGCAGGGGCGACCCCAGGCAGGAGUGAGAACCUCAGCGGGCCCAGGACGGUGCCUGGCAGGGGCGGCCCCAGGCAGGAGUGAGAACCUCAACGGGCCCAGGACGGUGCUCAGCAGGGGCGGCCCCAGGCAGGUGUGAGAACGUCAGCGGGCCCAGGACGGUGCUCAGCAGGGGCGGCCCCAGGCAGGUGUGGGAACCUCAGCGGGCCCAGGACGGUGCCCAGCAGGGGCGGCCCCAGGCAGGUGUGAGAACCUCAGCGGGCCCAGGACGGUGCCCAGCAGGGGCGGCCCCAGGCAGGUGUGGGAACCUCAGCGGGCCCAGGACGGUGCCCAGCAGGGGCGGCCCCAGGCAGGUGUGAGAACCUCAGCGGGCCCAGGACGGUGCUCAGCAGGGGUGGCCCCAGGCAGGUGUGAGAACCUCAGCGGGCCCAGGACCGUGCUCAGCAGGGGUGGCCCCAGGCAGGUGUGAGAACCUCAGCGGGCGCAGGACGGUGCCCGGCAGGGGCGGCCCCAGGCAGGAGUGAGAACCUCAGCGGCCCAGGACGGUGCCCGGCAGGGGCGGCCCCAGGCAGGUGUGAGAACCUCAGCGGGCCCAGGACGGUGCUCAGCAGGGGCAGCCCUCAGUGGAUGUGAGCACCCCAUGCUCCGGUGCUUCCUCCUGCCAGUCCUCUUGCUCCUUGUCUCAGCUGCGUCUGUCCUCCCGCAGGACGCUCCUGUCAGACACCAAUCUGAAUGUUUAAUUAUCAUCAUUACUAUUAAAUGGUUUUGUUCUCCUAGCUAACAAAUACCACUUUACUGGUGCAGCAGGGUUCUUGCUUGCACUAUUGAUUAUCUAACACACAGAAUCAUUUGCAUGCAGAGGUGGAAGAGACAUCUUUGAGCAGCUGGCGGAACCGGCACGUUUGAGAGCUGAGCAUUUGGGAAGCUUUUGCGAUCUCUUAAAUCAAGUGUAGCCUAAAGCUACACUGUCUGCAUAUUUUAAAUUCAACCUACAGGUUCUCUGUAGAGGUGUAAACGGACCAUAGCCUACUCUUGCACCAAUCACCGAGUUUUGGCCAGUCAAAGGUGGCCAACUGUUCAAACCAUGCUCAAACACCACAAGUGCCGAGAUGUAACCAAUUGGCUGUUUCUGCACCUCACUUCCGUCUUCUGUGCGUCUCUUUCCUUUUUCUGUCCUAAAUAUUCUUCCACCACGUGGCUGUGCUGGAGUCUCUCUGAACCUGUUCUGGCUCGGGAGGCUGCCUGAUUCAUGAACCCUUCGUUGCUCAAUUAAACUCUGUUAAACUUAAUUCUGCUAGAAUUUUUCUUUCAACAGGGGCAUUGAUGAGCAGUUCGCAUCAGGGAUGUGUUUGGCUCACACUGGCUGGUAACGAGGACCCUUUCCCCUUCACGUGUGGGUGGGAGGAAACCGCAGGUCUUCGUACGCUGCUCAUUGUAAGGGCCUGGAAUUUCAGGGAUGACGAUACCACCUAUUAUGUGGAUGGCGUUAUUUUUUUGUUCACAAGGAGAAUCUUCAACUAAUUGUGUGUAAUUUCACAGCUACGCUGACGAAGCACGUCAGCACAAGCAAACACAGUCACUGCUGUCCUCCCAGGGUCCCGUAAUUACUUUAAUAUGUGUGCACAAUCGCAGCCUGAGAGGACUGUGGGAGGUGCGAUCCCAUAUUUAGAAAUGGGGAAUCACUAACAACUGUGGGAAACUCUCGAGGACGUCAGAAUUUUGGAGAGAGAGGUAAGAAAACAAAAUGAUGUUUUAAUCCUGUUUAAAAUCAGUAUGCACGUCACAGCUGAACACAGAAAAGGUGAUAACAUGAAGACUGAAGGGACCCACGAUGAGGAUACAUGAGGAAUGAAGUUCGUUUUUCUAUUUCUGAACAAGAAAGUUGAAGGGCUAUUUUCUAGAACGAAAGAGAGCUGAACGCAGGGAUUUCAACUUUUUGGGAAAUAUAAUUGAUUAAUUUUUUAAAAACUACACUUAUUUUUCAAAUAAUCACAAACCUACAGAAGAGGUGGUAGCACAGUGUGAAGAACUAGAUGAUGUUCUGCUGUUCAAGAGCCUUUUCAUUUCCAGAUACAUUUCAGGAUCAGCUUGUCGAUUGCUACCAAAAAAAAAAAAAAUACCGUAAGCGAUUUUGAUUGAAAUUGCCUUUUGAAAAAUAAUUACAAAAUUGUAAGACCGAUACUACCUAAUUUCAAGAUGUAUUGUAAAUGCAUGAUAAUAUUUAGAUUACCAUAAUAAAUAAGAUUUAUUGUAAACCUGUGGUAUACAACAUAUUAUAUACAACAGUGUAUCACUGGCAUAAAGGUAGACAAAUCAACAAGACAGAUUAGAGAGUCUGGAAAUGGAUCCACACAUAUGUGGACAUUUGACUUUCAGAAAGUGUUUAGAGACAAUUCAGUGGAAAAAGGAUAAUCUUUUCAACCAAUGGUGCUGAAACUGUUGUAUACCUAUGUGUUCCAAACGAACAAGCAAACAAAAC
rnacentral:lncRNA from 1 species